UUACUACUCCCUCUGUCCCAAAAUUCUUGUCUUAUAUUUGUCUAGAUACGGAUGUAUCUAAUACUAAAAUGUGACUUGAUACAUUCGUAUUUAGACAAAUCUAAAACAUCAAUUUUGGAACGGAGGGAGUAUAAU
rnacentral:pre_miRNA from 1 species